rnacentral:misc_RNA from 1 species
GAUGAAGAACGUAGCGAAAUGCGAUAAGUAAUGUGAAUUGCAGAAUUCAGUGAAUCAUCGAAUCUUUGAACGCACAUUGCGCCCGCCAGUAUUCUGGCGGGCAUGCCUGUCUGAGCGUCAUUUCAACCCUCAUGCCCCUAGGGCGUGGUGUUGGGGAUCGGCCAAAGCCCGCGAGGGACGGCCGGCCCCUAAAUCUAGUGGCGGACCCGUCGUGGCCUCCUCUGCGAAGUAGUGAUAUUCCGCAUCGGAGAGCGAUGAGCCCCUGCCGUUAAACCCCCAACUUUCCAAGGUUGACCUCAGAUCAGGUAGGAAUACCCGCUGAACUUAAGCAUAUAAUAGCGGAGGA